rnacentral:rRNA from 1 species
UACGUAGGCAGCAAGCGUUGUUCGGAGUUACUGGGCGUAAAGGGUGUGUAGGCGGUUCCCUAAGUUUGGGGUGAAAUCUCCCGGCUCAACUGGGAGGGUGCGCCGAAAACUGGGGGGCUAGAGUACUGGAUGGGAGAGUGGAAUUCCUGGUGUAGCGGUGAAAUGCGUAGAUAUCAGGAGGAACACCUGUGGUGUAGACGGCUCUCUGGACAGUAACUGACGCUGAGACACGAAAGCGUGGGUAGCAAACAGG